rnacentral:tRNA from 1 species
GGGGCGUUAGCUCAGCUGGUUAGAGCAACGGACUCAUAAUCCGUCGGUCGCGGGUUCAAGUCCCGCACGCCCCACCA